rnacentral:lncRNA from 1 species
CAAGUCAGUGACACCAGCGGGCUUGUCUGCUGGGAAGUUCCUCUCUCCUGGGACUGGAACCAUCUGUCCACUUGUCUGUGUCUCUCGUGAGGACAGACCCUUCUGUAUCACGUAGCGCCACACUGAGCCAGGAGCCAGCGGCCUCCCUAGAUCUGACGUGAAUUGAAAGGGCCUGACCGGGCAGGGGCCCAGGGAGGGGAUCAAAAACAGCGAUGGGAACAAACCCAUCAUAAACCUGGCAUUCCUGCAGGGAGAAACCGCAAGGUGCAGACUUGAAAGGGCCUUGCUGGGGUUCCCACUACGGCAAACGAAAGCGGGAGGGAGGCGUGAGUGUGGCCUUCCAGGCAGCUGCAUUUCUGCGUCUGGACAGCCAGCCUCGCUCGGGUGACUGCAUGCCUCAAAGCCAACUAUCCCAGCCCCGGGCCACCAGAGGAAACCAGAAAAACCCAUGCCACCGCAGCGAAAGAUUGCAGGUGAAACCGGCAAACACCACUACGUAGGGCAGUCCCGUUCCUGAGUUCUUUCUCCCUGCUAUUCAGCUGUGGCGGCACAGGCACAGAGAGGGCUCCCAACGCUGUGCUCGAGUGCACGCAGUUGGGAAGAGAGAAGCUUUUCCCCAAACCCCACUUGCCUCCAAACCCAACCUGACGUGGGCCGGAGCCUCCAUGGGGGUUAGAAAGAGCAUCAUUUAAAUUAGGUGCGCUCGUCAUUUUCACCUGUAAUGCACCAAAAAAGGGAAGGAGGGGGAGAGGAAAGGGGAAGCCCUUGCCGAGAACCAGACAGGAGAGGAUGCACACCCGUCACACUGAAACAAGGUGGUUUCUUUAGCAAGUGGGAGAGAGUUGAGGCACUGAGAAGAAGAACUAAAAUGACUGAGUUUCAUAGAGAUGCAGAGGACAGAGCGCUGACAGGCACAGUUUCUCUCUUCUUGGCCGCUGCAUGAAAUUGCCUCAAAGUCAAGACAGAGAGUGCUGUGAUGCACCAGCACGGGCCCAACGCCAGCCUCCGUGACUGUCAACUCAUGGCCAAACUUUUUUCAUUUACAUCCAACCCUCCCUUCAGAUCAUUUGGAAGCAAAUCCCAGACAUCAUGUUCUCUCAUCCGUGCAGAUAGGUUCCAUCCAUUCCUGGCUGUUGGUUGAUAUGUCUCUUAAGCCUCCUUAAUUCUGCUGCUUGUCCCUUGCCUCCGCCCACCCCCUUUGUCGGAGCUGCUGACGCCGUGACCUAGGGACACCCCACCACAACUGUUUCCAGUUCUGCUCCAACGGCUAGCCUCUGCUUCAUUUGAAACAGAUUUGCUCUGAUUUAAGGAGACUUUAAAAUUUUUAAAGUAAUUGUCAUCCUCCCCCUCUGCUGCUGGUUUUUCUUCUUUUAUUGUUU